UUACGGCCAUAUCACGUUGAAACACCGGUUUUCGUCCGAUCCCAGAAGCUAAGCAAGAUCGAGCCUGGUCGGUACCUAGAUGGGUGAGGGCUUUUUAAUAUAAAGGUGCUGUA